UUUAUAAUACUGAUUUUCACCAAACUAUGCAUCCCCACUAACCUAGAAAGCGUUUUAAACAGUAAUGUUAAUACAGCGUGUCGGAGGAAUACAGCGUCUCUUUUUUUUCUUUUUUCUUUUU